rnacentral:misc_RNA from 1 species
UCCGGUUUGUCACCGGCAGUCUCCUUAGAGUUCCCACCAUUACGUGCUGGCAACUAAGGACAAGGGUUGCGCUCGUUGCGGGACUUAACCCAACAUCCCACGACACGAGCUGACGACAGCCAUGCAGCACCUGUGCAGGCUCCCGAAGGAGCCCCGUGUUUCCACGGGUUUACCCUGCAUGUCAAACCCAGGUAAGGUUCUUCGCGUUGCAUCGAAUUAAUCAGCAUGCUCCGCCGCUUGUGCGGGCCCCCGUCAAUUCCUUUGAGUUUUAGCCUUGCGGCCGUACUCCCCAGGCGGGGCGCUUAAUGCGUUAGCUGCGGCACGGAACUCGUGAAAUGAGUCCCACACCUAGCGCCCAACGUUUACGGCAUGGACUAC